CAUGGAGCCAGGUGCAGAGGCGCAGCCUGUCAUCCCAGUGACCCAGGAGGCUGAGGCAGAAGGACCACCAGUCGGAGGCCAGCCUGGGCAACGUAGUGAGACCCGGUCUCAAAAUCAAAAGGGCCGGUGGUGUGGCUCAGUGGUUAAGCAUCCCUUGGUUCAGUCCCCAGGACCAAAUACACAGAAAAACUUUCAUGUGACACAGGAAUCUUCAGAAUGAUGAGUGAAGACCCAGGAAAGCAAUUUAUUCGCAGGCCUUGGGCUGGGGAAGAAAGGAGAGUGGUGCCGAGCGCGGUGGUGCACACCUGUAAUUCAAGCCGCUCAGGAGGCCGAGGAUCGCGAGUUCAAAGCCAGGCUCAGCAAUUUUGCAAGGCCCUAAGCAACUUAGGGAGACCCUGUCUCUAAGUAAAAUAUUUUAAAAAGGGCUGGAUGUGUAGCUGAGUGGUUAAGAGCCCCUGGCUUCAACCCCAGGAAGGAAGGAAGGAAGGAAGGAGGAUAGCAGUAUGCCAACGCGACUAGACAAAACGAGAACAGACUGAGGGGUGCAGACUCGUCUUGGCAUCUCUGUGCAGCUCUCUUCCUCCGGGACGUGGGGCAGGACCCUCUGCAAUGGACCCUCUGCAAUGGGGGUCUCCGAGGGAGAAUGGGUUUAGUUUGUCUCUUGAUUGCAGUAGCUGCGGAUGGGGCGGAUGGGGCGCAGGGCCCCAGGGACGCUAGACUGCCCCGCCGCUGCGCUCACCCCAGCCCAGGAGAAGAAAGGGCCUCCUUCCAGGUUCCGUGGCUGGCGUUAGGGGAGAGGAGUUCUGGUUCCUGGGACCCGCUGGGGGUGAGGAAUUCUGAGUCCUGUGACUUACUCGGGUGAAGGGCUAGAGAGAGGCUGGGUGUGGUGGCUCAUGCCUGCAAUUCCAGUCUGGGGAUGGGGACCGCAAGGCAGGAGCAAGGAGUGCCAUAGUUGGGGGGAUCAAGUUCUGAGUCCCAACAUAAGAGGGAAACUGAGAAUGCGAGGGUGUUUGCAAAUGUGGAAGUGCCCGGAACCGCUUCCCCUCUCCCACCAGCAGAGCAAAGCACAGCCCCGAGGUGAAGGCUGCGGGCCAGGGUGGGGCUCAGCGGGGAGCCCUCGCCUAGCAAGGAGGGGCCCUGGGUUCCAUCCCCAACACACGAAGAGAAGAAAAGAAGAAAGAAUUCAGGGCUGAAAGAAAGCUGUGCUGUGCCCUUCUGAACUGGCUUCAUGGCCACCACCCUCCCAGGGGACUUCCUCCUCCCCAACCCGACAGCACAGUUGAAAAUUCCAGUAGCUGUUUAUAAGGCAGCAUCUGCAGGGAUUCAGCAGGUACCUGGGGGACACCAGGAAUGUUGGCUGCUUCUCUCCACACUGCCCCAAGGGGGGACAGGGCUCCAGGAGCUCCCUGUCCACCCCAGGCUAACCUGAGUCUGAGAGCUGCAGCCGGCAGGGACCUGGUGGCCUGGGGAUGGAGCCGAGGGCCUCACACCAGCGAGGCCGCACCCCCAGCAACGGCAGUUUGGUUUUUCUCUGUAAAUAGUGAGCAUCUCAACAACCAAUUUUGUCUUCAUCAAGCCCCAGGGCUGAGCACGCACAAAUUGGAAACUGGGGAAGUUUUCACCCUGUGGAAGGGAAAGAAAAAAAACACAGCCACUCAACAAGGAACCUGAGAAACCCGUGAGUGGAAGGCAGAAAAGGCGGAGAAGGGCGGGGGUGGAAGAGAACCCUCAGCCCCAGCCCCCCCCUGCUUUCCUUAUCUGAGGAUCAGAGACUGGGCUGGAGCUAAAGUCCACUGGCCAGAACAAAGAUUCCUACUCCCUCCCCACCCCCAAAGCAGAAGAGGAAAAAAAAAAAAAGACCUUGUCUUUACUGGAUGUGUGAUCUGGACACAUUGCUUAAUCACUUUGUGGUUUAGUUUCCUCAUCUGUGAAAUGGGACUAAUGACUGCCUGUUGCAGUCUGGCUGGGCACAAAAUAACCCAGCCGCCACGAGGCACUUGUAGGUUCAAACAGGAACUACUUUAUUGCCCGAACUCCACCAGCACUCCACCUGCACUCCCCGGGAACUCUCCCUGCCCUCAACGUGGCUCCGAGAGAACUCAACGGGAACUCCGGAGAAGGAGAGGGAACUCCGGAGAAGGAGAACUCGAAAGUAGCGGGCGCCCGAGGCAGCAGGAGCCUCCCUAUUGCGGGACAGCAGGGGUCUAUAUACAACGGAAUACACAGCCCGUUUCAAUCCAGCAUCAUCCAGUCACAGCAAUUAUACACAGCUUAACUUAAUUAUCAUCAUCUUAAUGGCUCGCUGGCAUCACCUCUCAACCACUCCUUCUGGCAAAAUGCCAGGCGACUCGGCUGUGGCUCUCAACAACUGCCAGGUGUGGUGGCACAUUCCUGUAAUCCCAGGAGCUAAGGAGGCUGAGGCAGGAGGAUCAGGAGUUCAAAGCCAGCCUCUGCAACUUAGUGAGGCCUUGUCUCUAAAUAAAAAGGUGUAGAGCUCAGUGGUAAAGCA